CUGGGAUUGGGCUCUGGGCGGCUUUUUUCAAGUGGCGGGGCAGGCGGUGUAGACCGCUCCGGCAGCGCGCUCUGCCCGGCUUCUUCAGUCUCCAUGCUGGGAGCGUCCGGGAGCAGCUCCGAGGCCGCGACGAAACCAGGUGGAGUCCGAGGUUCGGAGGAGUAUCCGAGGGCCCUUCUAGCCCAGUCCAGAGCUGUGCUAUGGCAGAGACAAGAGAAGAGGAGACAGUGUCAGCAGAAGCCUCCGGGUUCUCAGACUUGAGUGACUCAGAAUUCCUGGAGUUUCUGGACCUAGAAGAUGCCCAAGAGUCAAAUGCUUUAGUUAACAUGCCUGGCCCAUCUUCUGAAUCCCUUGGGAAGGAUGACAAACCCAUAAGCUUACAAAACUGGAAAACAGGUUUGGAUAUCUUAUCACCCAUGGAGAGAUUCCACCUUAAAUAUUUGUAUGUCACUGACCUGGCUACUCAGAACUGGUGUGAACUGCAAACAGCAUAUGGGAAGGAGCUUCCUGGUUUUUUGGCACCUGAGAAGGCAGCUGUUUUGGACACUGGUGCCAGCAUACACCUAGCUAGAGAACUAGAACUUCAUGACCUUGUGACUGUCCCAGUCACCACUAAAGAAGAUGCUUGGGCAAUUAAGUUUCUGAACAUACUUUUGAUGAUUCCUGCCCUGCAGUCAGAAGGGCACAUCAGAGAGUUUCCCGUGUUUGGGGAAGUGGAGGGUGUACUUCUUGUUGGAGUGAUCGAUGAGCUGCACUAUACAGCCAAGGGGGAACUGGAACUGGUGGAACUCAAGACACGCAGGCGCCCUAUGCUCCCUCUGGAAGCUCAGAAAAAGAAAGACUGUUUUCAAGUCAGCCUAUACAAAUAUAUCUUUGAUGCCAUGGUACAAGGAAAAGUGACCCCUGCUAGCUUAAUCCACCACACGAAGUUGUGUCCAGAAAAGCCACUGGGGCCAUCAGUGCUGAGGCAUGCCCAGGAAGGAGGCUUCUCUGUGAAAUCUUUGGGUGACCUCAUGGAACUGGUCUUCUUGUCUCUAACACUGUCAGACCUCCCAGUUAUUGAUAUCUUGAAGAUUGAGUAUAUCCACCAAGAGACUGCCAUGGUGCUGGGUACUGAGAUUGUAGCCUUUGAAGAGAAGGAGGUGAGAGCCAAGGUGCAGCAUUAUAUGGCCUACUGGAUGGGCCACCGAGAGCCCCAGGGAGUCGAUGUGGAGGAGGCUUGGAAGUGCCGGACAUGUACAUAUGCAGACAUUUGUGAGUGGAGAAAGGGCAGUGGAGUACUCAGCUCUACACUGGGGCCCCAAGCCAAAAAAGCCAAAUGAAUAGAAGGUAUGCUUUCAAGAAUGUCGAUCCUUCCUGCUCCUGCUGUACCUAAGCAAAAGAGGACCAGUCUCUGAGCUUGGCUUUUAUGGACAGUGUUCUUAUUUUGGUUCUUUUUUUAUUUCCACAACCUCUAACCACAUUCAGUCCAGGACCAAGGCUCAGGGAUGAGUGGGAGAGAUGGGUUAUACUACCCUGGAGCUUCACCAUGAUUGCCUAAGAAGACAGAUGCUCAUCAUGGCUGGAAUGAAGAAGCUGGAGGAAGGAAUGAUACAGAUGUCACCUGGAAGAUAAGGACUUGUUUGUGGUGACACUACUGGAGAAUUUGCAGAAGUCAGUGCAUGAGGAGGGCAAUUGGCAGGGGGAGAGUUUUCUGUAUUAACUGGAACGUUAAGAGCCAACAGAACAUGGUGAAUGUUGUUAGUAUGAUUCCAUGCUAUACAUGAGCUGGUAAAUCCUGGACAUCUGUAGAAGACAAGGUAGGUUGUCUCUGGAGGCUCUUCUUAACUACACAUACUCUUCUUAUGGACCCUGAAAUCUUAUGAUGACUUUUUACUGAAUGACUCUUAUGGCCAGGCACUGUACUAAGCACAUUGUAAUUAAAUCUGUAUCCAUUAUCUCCAGCAAGGGAACUGAGGCCUAGAAGGGUUAUAUAAUUUUCCUAGCUGGGUGUGGUAGCUCACACCUGUAAUCUUAGUACUUUGGGAGGGCAAGGUAUGAAGAUCACUUGAGGACAGAAGUUAAAGACCAGCCUGGGCAACAUAGCAAG